GAUGAACGCUGGCGGCGUGCCUAAUACAUGCAAGUCGAGCGAACAGAUGAGAAGCUUGCUUCUCUGAUGUUAGCGGCGGACGGGUGAGUAACACGUGGGUAACCUACCUAUAAGACUGGGAUAACUCCGGGAAACCGGGGCUAAUACCGGAUAAUAUUUUGAACCGCAUGGUUCAAUAGUGAAAGACGGCUUCGGCUGUCACUGAUAGAUGGACCCGCGCCGUAUUAGCUAGUUGGUAAGGUAACGGCUUACCAAGGCGACGAUACGUAGCCGACCUGAGAGGGUGAUCGGCCACACUGGAACUGAGACACGGUCCAGACUCCUACGGGAGGCAGCAGUAGGGAAUCUUCCGCAAUGGGCGAAAGCCUGACGGAGCAACGCCGCGUGAGUGAUGAAGGUCUUCGGAUCGUAAAACUCUGUUGUUAGGGAAGAACAAAUUUGUUAGUAACUGAACAAGUCUUGACGGUACCUAACCAGAAAGCCACGGCUAACUACGUGCCAGCAGCCGCGGUAA
rnacentral:rRNA from 1 species